AUAUUCUAAAUUAUUACACUAAUUUUAUAGCAUUAACAGUUCGAUUAAAUCGGUUUUAAAGUGAUAUGAUAAUGUUUUAAAAAAGCGAAAAAAGUAUUUAUGCUUUUCCGUUCGUGUCGUCUUACAUCAACGUGUCAAAUUCAUAUGGUCAUUUUUCGCUGUAUAUAAUAAGUAUUAUAAAAUGCCACUAAAAAAGUAAAUUUCAAUAUUGUAUUUUAUUAUUGUUUAUGACUUAAAAUAUAAUAUUUCUACUUGCGCAUUUGGUGAUCUAAUUUUUCAGAAAAAUUUAUUAUUGA
rnacentral:lncRNA from 1 species